rnacentral:sRNA from 1 species
GGCGCUUUUUAAAAUCUCUUCCCAUUAUGCCAAAGUGCAAUUCAGACUGAGGCAAAUAUCAUUGGCUUCAGGUUACGAGAGAGACAAUCUGUUAAAAGAUCUGGAGCGAUUAACAGCAAAAGGACUAGAUGCGACUGGUCCCAUACGGGACGAAAAAUUGUCCAUGCAAGCCAAACAUCACGUAAAGCAAGACAAGAUUCUCUGCCAACUGCGAGGAAGUCUCGGAGACUUGGUCGAAACCACUGAUGCUUCCAAUAAAGCUCCCUGCAACAAAGUUGUCAGCCAGGGCGGUGGAAAAAGCUAAAAAAAAAAUUUUGGCCAUGCUAAGGUAGAAAGAAAACAUGGCAAACAUGGAAGGCACGUGUUGUGAUAUUGAGUACGGAAAGCAAGAUACACAUUUUUUGCAUCCCAAGACAACAACUUAUUCGUAGAUAUUCUGGAAAAGUAUAAAAAGGAAGAUUGAAGCAUAUUGCAAGCGAUGAAAUUAUUUUAAGAAUGUGAUAAACAAAAUAAUUUCUUAGAAACUCGAAAAAAGACCGCUAGACCCCUAUUACGGAUCUUUUAUAGCUCUGCACUUAUCUUUAAUGAUAGUUCCAAAAGUUCUUACAAAAAAGAAUUAUUUAGAGCUGUUGUCGAAUAAUAUUAGAUUUAGCAUUAUGAUGAAAAGCAAAAAUUAACUGAGGGAUAGCAAAUAAAACGAAAAGAAGACGAAGACAAAAUUUCAAAAAGAUGAAAGGAUUUUUACAGAAAAUGGUCGCUAUAGUCCUCUACUAUCCAAUAACCCUUACUCAGCUAGUGGAAGUGCCAACAAGUGAUUUGUGGGCG